rnacentral:rRNA from 1 species
UACAGAGGUCUCAAGCGUUGUUCGGAUUCAUUGGGCGUAAAGGGUGCGUAGGUGGCGCCGUAAGUCGGGUGUGAAAUUUCGGAGCUUAACUCCGAAACUGCAUUCGAUACUGCGGUGCUUGAGGACUGGAGAGGAGACUGGAAUUCAUGGUGUAGCAGUGAAAUGCGUAGAGAUCAUGAGGAAGACCAGUGGCGAAGGCGGGUCUCUGGACAGUUCCUGACGCUGAGGCGCGAAAGCGUGGGGGAGCGAACAGGAUUA